rnacentral:lncRNA from 1 species
ACAGAGAGUAGCAAGAGCUUAUUGGAUAGGUUCAGAGAUAAAUUUGACUAGAAGAGAAUGGUAAUCCACCAUAUGAAAGGGAGACGGGAUUGAAUAAAUAAUGUUGAAAUCAGACCAGAGAGGACCAGGCAGAAUACAAGGCUCUUGUGGCAACUGUGCUUAAGGAGGCCCUAUGUUAGGGGACCACUAGAAAUUUAGCUCUUCAGCACUGAUGGAACAAAGGCAUUUAUGAUUCAACAAUGAAUUUGCCCCUGUCCUGUCCUGCCAACCUCUCUCUAUCUGAAAGCAUUAUGUGUCAAUAAUGUUUUAAACACCUCAUGGAAAUUAUGGCUUUCUCUUAAGCUACAAUUCUGUACACAAAGAUUUCUGUUAUCAUUAUUGAUUUUACUCUUUGUAAAUGCUAUGUUUUACUAAAACUCAAUUAUUUUAAAAUAUUUUAAAUAAGGAAAUAUUACAAAGCUUAGCUCUUCAUGCUUUUCUUUGGUUUCCAAAAUUUCUAAAGUGAACAUAUAUUUACUUUAUUGGUACAUGAGGAUCCCCCCUAAAUUAUUACUAUGAACAUAAUAAAAUAUAUCUAUUUACAAAAAAACUGAAUCUUUCUCUAAAGUAUAUAUUUUGGAGUUGCAUGC